UUAUAAAUAUUUUUUAUAACCUCUUUGUGUUCAGCUCGAUAAAUUUACAUUGAAUGAUACCUACACAAUAAUUCUGUAUAAUUUCCAAGCGUGAAACGUGAAACGGCUUUAAUAGCCCUAUAAAUACAAAACCCCUUGCGACUAAACUUCAUAUUCCGCCAAAAAUCUGUGGACAAAAUGAAGUUUGCCAUUUUGUUCGUAAUGGUCGCUAUAUUUACCUUCUGCGAGGGUUACACCACUCGUCACACGAUAUUACCCGCUUUUCGCUACAAUGUUCCUUUGAAUAUUUACGACAUAAUUAAUACUAAUGGGCACAAGUGUGUUUGUAUUCCACCACCAGAAGACACUCGUUGUUUAAAUUUGGAUAGCGUUCGGAGGCGAAUGAAGAGACAUAUGUAAUUUGUGUGAUUACUAAUGAAUAUGGUCUAUAAUUAUUCAUCUUCUUAUUCAUCUUCGGUUAUAACGAAUAACCGUCAUUCUGCUAUCGUGGCCAUGACCGUGAUUUUGCGUGCCUGAUGUUUUAGGUCUUUUUAUAUAGACUACUCAAGAUCAAAAAAUCAAAAAAUAGAGUUUAUUGUCGUGAAGUGGAAAUUUUAUUGGUGGAUCCACCUGCAGCCGUCGUAUAAAUCUUUAAUUGCGUUGAUUAGAUUGUGGACAAAGGCUUCUUGUAUUACGCUGAAUACUACUUUCUGCAGUGGUAGCAUUUUGCAGCUGCUUCUCCAUUAGUUGUGUUAACGUAUAUAUUUUUAAAUAUUUUUACACUUAUUUCUCUCAAAAACUUUCUUCAUUAUAUUCAUAUAAUUUUGAUUUUAAAUCAAAAAACGGACCAUAAUAAAAUUUAAAACAAUGCAAUCGAUAAAAUAAAUCGUAUAAUAUUUUUUGGAAA